UCGUAACAAGGUCUCCGUUGGUGAACCAGCGGAGGGAUCAUUACCGAGUUUACAACUCCCAAACCCCUGUGAACAUACCAAUUGUUGCCUCGGCGGAUCAGCCCGCUCCCGGUAAAACGGGACGGCCCGCCAGAGGACCCCUAAACUCUGUUUCUAUAUGUAACUUCUGAGUAAAACCAUAAAUAAAUCAAAACUUUCAACAACGGAUCUCUUGGUUCUGGCAUCGAUGAAGAACGCAGCAAAAUGCGAUAAGUAAUGUGAAUUGCAGAAUUCAGUGAAUCAUCGAAUCUUUGAACGCACAUUGCGCCCGCCAGUAUUCUGGCGGGCAUGCCUGUUCGAGCGUCAUUUCAACCCUCAAGCCCAGCUUGGUGUUGGGACUCGCGAGUCAAAUCGCGUUCCCCAAAUUGAUUGGCGGUCACGUCGAGCUUCCAUAGCGUAGUAGUAAAACCCUCGUUACUGGUAAUCGUCGCGGCCACGCCGUUAAACCCCAACUUCUGAAUGUUGACCUCGGAUCAGGUAGGAAUACCCGCUGAACUUAAGCAUAUCAAUAGGC
rnacentral:rRNA from 1 species